CCCCACCGCCAGGACGCAGAGCCGACGGAGCUCUCGGGCUCUGGCGAAAGGGGGUUGGGAAGCGGACUCCGGCGAAGAGCAGUCAGGAACGGCUGGACGGGGCCGAGAGACGACGCAGCGGAGUCUGAGGGGGCCGGGGUCACAGGGAGAGGCAAAUGAGGGCAGAAGCACUCUUCAGACGGAGACGGGGCUGACGGCUGAGCAAAAAAGGGGCGUGAACUUGGAGUAUUGGCAUGAAAAAAAGGUGGGGGCCCAGAUGGGGAGCACCUCCUCUUCCUCCUGCCCAAUCGCGAUC
rnacentral:lncRNA from 1 species